rnacentral:rRNA from 1 species
UGGGGAAUCUUCCGCAAUGGACGAAAGUCUGACGGAGCAACGCCGCGUGAGUGAAGACGGCCUUCGGGUUGUAAAGCUCUGUGAUCCGGGACGAAAGAGCCUGAGGUGAAUAGCCUAAGGAAGUGACGGUACCGGAAAAGCAAGCCACGGCUAACUACGUGCCAGCAGCCGCGGUAAUACGUAGGUGACAAGCGUUGUCCGGAAUUAUUGGGCGUAAAGCGCGCGCAGGCGGCUUCCUAAGUCCAUCUUAAAAGUGCGGGGCUUAACCCCGUGAUGGGAUGGAAACUGGGAAGCUGGAGUAUCGGAGAGGAAAGUGGAAUUCCUAGUGUAGCGGUGAAAUGCGUAGAGAUUAGGAAGAACACCGGUGGCGAAGGCGACUUUCUGGACGAAAACUGACGCUGAGGCGCGAAAGCGUGGGGAGCAAACAGG